UGAGAGAGUUCUUAAGGUGGCUUCUCUGGGC
rnacentral:piRNA from 1 species